rnacentral:rRNA from 1 species
UACAGAGGUCUCAAGCGCUGUUCGGAUUCAUUGGGCGUAAAGGGUGCGUAGGCGGCGCGGUAAGUCGGGUGUGAAAUUUCGAGGCUUAACUUCGAAACUGCAUUCGAUACUGCCGUGCUUGAGGACUGGAGAGGAGACUGGAAUUUACGGUGUAGCGGUGAAAUGCGUAGAUAUCGUAAGGAAGACCAGUGGCGAAGGCGGGUCUCUGGACAGUUCCUGACGCUGAGGCACGAAGGCCAGGGGAGCAAACGGG